rnacentral:rRNA from 1 species
CCUACGGGCGGCAGCAGUGGGGAAUAUUGGACAAUGGGCGAAAGCCUGAUCCAGCCAUGCCGCGUGUGUGAAGAAGGCCUUCGGGUUGUAAAGCACUUUCAGUGGGGAAGAAAGCCUUGGGGCUAAUACCCUCGAGGAAGGACAUCACCCACAGAAGAAGCACCGGCUAACUCCGUGCCAGCAGCCGCGGUAAUACGGAGGGUGCGAGCGUUAAUCGGAAUUACUGGGCGUAAAGCGCGCGCAGGCGGUCUGAUAAGCCGGUUGUGAAAGCCCCGGGCUCAACCUGGGAACGGCAUCCGGAACUGUCAGGCUAGAGUGCAGGAGAGGAAGGUAGAAUUCCCGGUGUAGCGGUGAAAUGCGUAGAGAUCGGGAGGAAUACCAGUGGCGAAGGCGGCCUUCUGGACUGACACUGACGCUGAGGUGCGAAAGCGUGGGUAGCAAACAGGAUUAGAUACCCCGGUAGUC